rnacentral:rRNA from 1 species
UACAGAGGUGCCAAGCGUCAGGCGGAAUCACUGGGCUUAAAGCGCGUGUAGGCGGGUCGUUAAGUGUCCGAGUGAAAUCCCACGGCUCAACCGUGGAACUGCCGGGCAUACUGGCGAUCUUGAGGCAUUCAGGGGCGAGCGGAACAAAUGGUGGAGCGGUGAAAUGCGUAGAUAUCAUUUGGAACGCCAAUGGUGAAAACAGCUCGCUGGGAAUGAUCUGACGCUGAGACGCGAAAGCCAGGGGAGCGAACGGG